AUCAUGCAAAUUAAUUUCUUUUGUUCAUAAGAUGGUAAUACCUACUGGAGGUGGAGCGGUCACUAAAAGGAGUCAAUUCGACAAUCAAGGUGAUCGACGGAGAUUGGUUGCCAACCUUGGACACAAAAAAGUUUUUACUAAACAGAAGUAUAGCAAGGAACCGAUUUCGGUCAUAUUAAUCAAUCUAGAUGUAUAGAUUAGUGUUUUUUUAUUUUAGCAUAAUCUACCAAUCAAGUAUACUUGAUCCAUCACCCAGUGAUCACUUCAUCAGUUUGACAUCCAAUGGAUAGUACUCCCUCUGUACAUAAAUAUAAAUAUAAGAGCGUUUACAUAAUCACUUCAGUGAUCUAAGUGCUCUUAUAUUUAUUUACGGAAGGAGUUCAAAUUAAUCAAAUUUGUGCAGAAGAUGAUACCUACUGGAGUUGCUGUUGUUUUUGGGUGGAGUUGAAUUGGACAAUCGAGGAGAUCCUAUAGCGUGGCGAUGUUCAAGGGUGGCCGAUAUGAAGGUGAAGCCAAUCUGGAAGCACUUACAAGUAGAACGGAAUUGGAGAUUGAGAUUGGUUUUUGAGUUGUGCGAGAUGUAAUUAUGCAAGGAUAAGUGUGUUCAUCCAACCGAAUAUCAAGUGUCUCCGAU
rnacentral:lncRNA from 1 species